CCCACUUUAAUUUAAUGGAUAGGGAUAAGCAUAAAAUAUAUUUAAAUAUGGAAAUUUGAUUGGUAUUAUUACACCUUCCAGUUUAAAAUUUUAAACAAAGUAUGAAAAUACAAUUUAGAUAAUUUUUUAAUUUAGGUUAAUUAGGUGCCAGCAACCGCGGUCAUACCUGAUAAAUUAGCUUAUUAUAUAUAGUAUUUAAUAACUUUAUCUUUAAAAUAAUAAAAUAAAUAGUGAAAUACUAUUUUAUUUAAUAUCCUAUCAAGAUUAAAUAAUAAACAAACUCAUCAUUUAAAACUAGGAUUAGAGACCCUAUUAUUAUGAGCUAAAUAAUUAAAUACUAAGAAGUAAUAUUUCAAUCAUAAAACUUAAAUGUUAUGGCGGCUAAACAAAACAAUUAGGGGAACUUACCAUAUAAUUGACAACCACCAAGCUUAAAAUCACUUAUUAUAAUAAUUUGUAUACCGUUGUCUUCAUGAACCCCUCGAAGGGGUUCAGAAUCAUAAAAUUCUAUAGUAAGACAAAUCAAGGUGCAGUCUAUUAAUAAGAAAUAAGGUGAGUUACAAUAAAAUUUACUUUCGAAUUAAAAUAUGAAAUAUUUUAGAAAGAUGGACUUAAAAGUAAUUUAUAAAAAUAUACAUUUUAAAAGAAUCCGUAUUGCUUAGUGUA
rnacentral:rRNA from 1 species